UACAGAGGGUGCGAGCGUUAAUCGGAAUUACUGGGCGUAAAGGGUGCGUAGGUGGCUUAUUAAGUCAGAUGUGAAAUCCCCGGGCUUAACCUGGGAAUUGCAUAUGAUACUGGUAAGCUAGAGUGUGGAAGAGGGAAGUGGAAUUUCCGGUGUAGCGGUGAAAUGCGUAGAUAUCGGAAGGAACAUCAGUGGCGAAGGCGACUUCCUGGACCACAACUGACGCUGAGGCGCGAAAGCUAGGGGAGCAAACAGG
rnacentral:rRNA from 1 species